rnacentral:tRNA from 1 species
CCUGGUGGCUCAGAUGGUAGAGAAUCUGCCUACAACGCGGGAGACCCAGGUUCAAUCCCUGGGUCAGGA